GUCGAGCGGUAAGGCCUUUCGGGGUACACGAGCGGCGAACGGGUGAGUAACGCGUGGGUGAUCUGCCCUGCACUCUGGGAUAAGCCCGGGAAACUGGGUCUAGUACCGGAUAUGACCGCAUGCUGGAUGGUGUGUGGUGGAAAGAUUUAUCGGUGCAGGAUGGGCCCGCGGCCUAUCAGCUUGUUGGUGGGGUAAUGGCCUACCAAGGCGACGACGGGUAGCCGACCUGAGAGGGUGACCGGCCACACUGGGACUGAGACACGGCCCAGACUCCUACGGGAGGCAGCAGUGGGGAAUAUUGCACAAUGGGCGGAAGCCUGAUGCAGCGACGCCGCGUGAGGGAUGAAGGCCUUCGGGUUGUAAACCUCUUUCAGCAGGGACGAAGCGUGAGUGACGGUACCUGCAGAAGAAGCACCGGCUAACUACGUGCCAGCAGCCGCGGUAAUACGUAGGGUGCGAGCGUUGUCCGGAAUUACUGGGCGUAAAGAGUUCGUAGGCGGUUUGUCGCGUCGUUUGUGAAAACCCGGGGCUCAACUUCGGGCUUGCAGGCGAUACGGGCAGACUUGAGUGUUUCAGGGGAGACUGGAAUUCCUGGUGUAGCGGUGAAAUGCGCAGAUAUCAGGAGGAACACCGGUGGCGAAGGCGGGUCUCUGGGAAACAACUGACGCUGAGGAACGAAAGCGUGGGUAGCAAACAGGAUUAGAUACCCUGGUAGUCCA
rnacentral:rRNA from 1 species